rnacentral:rRNA from 1 species
UAGCUAGUUGGUGGGGUAAAGGCCUACCAAGGCGACGAUCGGUAGCUGGUCUGAGAGGAUGACCAGCCACACUGGAACUGAGACACGGUCCAGACUCCUACGGGAGGCAGCAGUGGGGAAUAUUGGACAAUGGGGGCAACCCUGAUCCAGCAAUGCCGCGUGUGUGAAGAAGGCCUGAGGGUUGUAAAGCACUUUCAGUGGGGAGGAGGAUUGUUUGUUUAAGAGAUGAGCAAUUGGACGUUACCCACAGAAGAAGCACCGGCUAACUCCGUGCCAGCAGCCGCGGUAAUACGGAGGGUGCAAGCGUUAAUCGGAAUUACUGGGCGUAAAGGGUGCGUAGGUGGUUAUGUAAGUUAUGUGUGAAAUCCCUGGGCUCAACCUGGGCAGGUCAUAUAAUACUGCAUGACUCGAGUGUGGGAGAGGGUAGUGGAAUUUCCGGUGUAGCGGUGAAAUGCGUAGAGAUCGGAAGGAACACCAGUGGCGAAGGCGGCUACCUGGCCUAACACUGACACUGAGGCACGAAAGCGUGGGGAGCAAACAGGAUUAGAUAUCCUGGUAGUCCACGCUGUAAACGAUGUCAACUAGCUGUUGGUUAUAUAAAAAUAAUUAGUGGCGC